CUAGAACUUAAAUGUAUUCCCGCAUUAUACUGGUGGACGACCUAGAACUUAAAUGUAUUCCCGCAUUAUACUGGUGGGCGACCUAGAACUUAAAUGUAUUCCCGCAUUAUACUGGUGGGCGACCUAGAACUUAAAUGUAUUCCCGCAUUAUACUGGUGGGCGACCUAGAACUUAAAUAUAUUCCCGCAUUAUACUGGUGGGCGACCUAGAACUUAAAUGUAUUCCCGCAUUAUACUGGUGGGGACCUAGAACUUAAAUGUAUUUGAAAUUGUUUCCCCGUUCUUCCGAGAAUUAUUUUUUUGACAAUCAGCGGAAAAUUUU
rnacentral:lncRNA from 1 species